GCACAAGCGGAGGAGCAUGUGGUUAAUUCGAUGAUACGCGAGGAACCUUACCUGGGCUCGAACGUAAGAUGACUGUAGGUGAAAGCUUACAUCUCUUCGGAGCAUUUUACGAGGUGCUGCAUGGUUGUCGUCAGCUCGUGCCGUGAGGUGUCGGGUUAAGUCCCAUAACGAGCGCAACCCCUACCUUUAGUUGCCAUCAGGUUAAGCUGGGGACUCUAAAGGAACUGCCUACGCAAGUAGUGAGGAAGGCGGGGAUGACGUCAAAUCAGCACGGCCCUUACGUCCAGGGCUACACACGUGCUACAAUGGCCGAUACAGAGGGCAGCUACCUGGUGACAGGAUGCAAAUCUCCAAAGUCGGUCUCAGUUCGGAUCGGAGUCUGCAACCCGACUCCGUGAAGUUGGAUUCGCUAGUAAUCGCGCAUCAGCCAUGGCGCGGUGAAUACGUUCCCGGGCCUU
rnacentral:rRNA from 1 species